UACGAAGGGGGCUAGCGUUGCUCGGAAUCACUGGGCGUAAAGCGCACGUAGGCGGAUUGCUAAGUCAGGGGUGAAAUCCUGGAGCUCAACUCCAGAAGUGCACUUGAAACUGGCGAGCUUGAAUGUCGGAGAGGGCAGUGGAAUUCCGAGUGUAGAGGUGAAAUUCGUAGAUAUUCGGAGGAACACCAGUGGCGAAGGCGACUGCCUGGACGAACAUUGACGCUGAGGUGCGAAAGCGUGGGGAGCAAACAGG
rnacentral:rRNA from 1 species